CACACACACACACACACAAGAUGGCGGACCACCGCAGCUGCAGCGUCUCCUGCUAAAACUUCUUCCGACUUUGUUGAACUGUUUUCCCGCUCUGAGCGGAGACAUGAGCGGCCUCCGCCGCCUCUGACGGCUGUGACGGUUGUAACGGUUUAACGUCUGAAGGACUUCGGUCGUUUUCAGGUCAGUCGUGGCUCGUCCAACAUGGCGGCGGCGUCAUAUGACCAGCUGCUGAGACAGGUGGAGGUGUUAAAGAUGGAGAACUCGAACCUACGACAGGA